rnacentral:tRNA from 1 species
UCCCUUCUAGCUCAAUGGCAGAGCGGUCGGUUGUUAACCGACUGAUGUAAGUUCGACUCUUACGGAGGGAG